GACGAACGCUGGCGGCGUGCUUAACACAUGCAAGUCGAACGGAGAGGCCCUGCUUUUGUGGGGUGCUCGAGUGGCGAACGGGUGAGUAACACGUGAGUAACCUGCCCUUGACUUUGGGAUAACUUCAGGAAACUGGGGCUAAUACCGGAUAGGAGCUCCUGCUGCAUGGUGGGGGUUGGAAAGUUUCGGCGGUUGGGGAUGGACUCGCGGCUUAUCAGCUUGUGGGGGGGGUGGUGGCAUACGAGGGCUUUGACGGGUAGCCGGCCUGGGAGGGUGAACGGCCACAUUGGGACUGAGAGACGGCCCAGAGUCCAACGGGAGGCAGCAGGGGGGAAUAUGGCACAAUGGGCGGAAGCCUGAUGCAGCAACGCCGCGUGCGGGAUGACGGCCUUCGGGUUGGAAACCGCUUUCGCCUGUGACGAAGCGUGAGUGACGGUAAUGGGUAAAGAAGCACCGGCUAACUACGUG
rnacentral:rRNA from 1 species